GGAUUAGAUACCCUGGUAGUCCACGCCGUAAACGAUGGUCACUAGCUGUUUGAUUAACAUUGGUUAAUUAAGUGGCUAAGCGAAAGUGAUAAGUGACCCACCUAGGGAGUACGCUCGCAAGAGUGAAACUCGAAGGAAUUGACGGGGGCCCGCACAAGCGGUGGAGCAUGUGGUUUAAUUCGAUGAUACGCGAGGAACCUUACCAGGGCUUAAAUGUAAGUUGCAUUAGCUAGAGAUAGCUAUUUCUUCGGACUACUUACAAGGUGCUGCAUGGUUGUCGUCAGCUCGUGUUG
rnacentral:rRNA from 1 species